rnacentral:piRNA from 1 species
UCAAACUUGGCAAUGUUUCUAGGUGGC